rnacentral:lncRNA from 1 species
NNNNGCCCACGUGUGUCCGGCCUCCGCAGGGCCCUGGGCGGCGGCGCGGGAUGGGGCGGCGGUCAGCGUGUCACCGCUUGGUGGCCUCGUGUGCGCACAGCUGGGGCCCGGGGAGCACGGGGUUAAAGAAGUCAGUGGAAGAACAGCUGAUUUCUACGGUUUUAAUGACUACUUUGGGACCACUCACAUGACCCAACACACCGCAUACGUGAAAAUGUUCAUGGAAAGAACACCCAUCAAGUGGUCUUUUCCGUUUCUCUCCCUUUUCACCCAGCUCCAGUUAAAAUUCCGUGAAGGAGGAUUGUGAAAUGCCAUUGUCUAACAGCAUGGCUGGAGAGAAACAGAAGGGGUGGUGAAGAAUUGAACACACGCCUCAACCCCCGCUUGGUACCUGUCACAUUUCAGUCUCUAUUCACCCUUCAGGUCUCUCUUUCAACCCUCUGC